rnacentral:rRNA from 1 species
CCUACGGGAGGCAGCAGUGGGGAAUCUUGCACAAUGGAGGAAACUCUGAUGCAGCGAUGCCGCGUGAGUGAAGAAGGCCUUUGGGUUGUAAAGCUCUUUUGUAGGGGAAGAUAAUGACUGUACCCUAAGAAUAAGGUCCGGCUAACUUCGUGCCAGCAGCCGCGGUAAUACGAAGGGACCUAGCGUAGUUCGGAAUUACUGGGCGUAAAGCGCGCGUAGGCCGUUGAGUUAGUUAAUUGUGAAAUCCCAAAGCUUAACUUUGGAACUGCAAUUAAAACUGCUCGACUAGAGUUUGAUAGAGGAAAGCGGAAUACAUAGUGUAGAGGUGAAAUUCGUAGAUAUUAUGUAGAACACCAGUUGCGAAGGCGGCUUUCUGGAUCAACACUGACGCUGAGGCGCGAAAGUAUGGGUAGCAAAGAGGAUUAGAUACCCUCGUAGUCCAUACCAUAAACGAUGGUUGCUAGAUGUUGGAAAUUUAUUUUCAGUAUCGCAGCUAACGCAUUAAGCAAUCCGCCUGGGGAGUACGACCGCAAGGUUAAAACUCAAAGGAAUUGACGG